GCCCUUGUAGCUCAGUGGUAGAGCGUUGCACUUGUAAUGCAAAGGUCCAUAGUUCAAUCCUGUGNUAGCUCAGUGGUAGAGCGUUGCACUUGUAAUGCAAAGGUCCAUAGUUCAAUCCUGUGUGGAGGCA
rnacentral:tRNA from 1 species